rnacentral:rRNA from 1 species
CAGUCGCCGCGGUAAUACGUAGGGUGCAAGCGUUAAUCGGAAUUGCUGGGCGUAAAGCGUGCGCAGGCGGUUUGUUAAGUCUGUUGUGAAAUCCCCGGGCUCAACCUGGGAAUGGCAAUGGAUACUGGCAAGCUAGAGUGUGUCAGAGGAUGGUGGAAUUCCCGGUGUAGCGGUGAAAUGCGUAGAGAUCGGGAGGAACAUCAGUGGCGAAGGCGGCCAUCUGGGACAACACUGACGCUGAGGCACGAAAGCGUGGGGAGCAAACAGGAUUAGAGACCCCUGUAGUCCCUGUCUCUUAUAA